CUUAGAUAUACUACUGUCUAUGCAAUUCCAUUGCUACCUUUUCCUACCCAGUAACAUUUCUGUCAUAGACAUGUCUUUUAAAGAAACCAAAUAAUAAUGUGUUGACUACUUCCUGUUUAAUCUUUGUGAUCUUUUCCUCAUUGAUAUGGAAUCCAGGUUUUAACUAGUUAAUUCUCUAAGUAGAAAAGAAAGGAGUCAAGAGAUAAAACAAACCAAGAAAAGUAAACCCUAAAAACAGCAAUAGAAAAGCCUCUGUUUUUCUCUCAUCUGAACAAUGCUCACUGGUAUCCAGCCCCGGUGCUACACAAUCCCAGCAGUGGCCCAGCAGGCUGGGGCUGCAGGCAUGACUGGCCGUGGGCUCACUAAUGGUAGCACUUGGUAUGAGUCAGUCACCAGCAGCAGACCCAUCAACAGGCUGCUCACCACAUCGCUGAUGGGCAAAAUUAAGAAGCAGGACAGGGAAGAGGGGUCAUGCUGACUCUAAGUGGAGCUCCCCCCAAGCUGUUAAAAAAAAGAAUUAAUUCUUCCUCUUCUGGAUUUUCCUAAGAUGGUUUGAUGGGUGAUAUCCCUGACCAUCAGGGUGGCUCAAAUCAGAUGCUUUGUUUCAACAUGGCCACUUCAAUUGAGCUCAGACAAGAGAGCUUCUCCUUUUCUGUGGCCCAAUGAACUAGCUGGGAAUAUGUGAGAAAGAGAGAAAAGAACAGAAUUAAGAUAUUUGUUAGCUUCCUGAUCUGAUGGAUUAACCACAAUGUCCCCGUGCUCCUUCGUCCUUCAACUAUAUUGAUGACAGUGCUCUCGCCUUUGUUGCUACUUGAAGUCUUUAGCGGGAAGAGGAAGGCACGGCUUGUUGGAUCGCUGAUGUAACAGCAGCUGACAGGCUCACUCCUUUUCAUCACCUUGUGUUGGCACAAACACGUGUGGCUGUGCAGUGUACAGGACUGAGGGAUGAUCUGGCUUAAAACUAACGCAUAUUGAU
ensembl:lncRNA